rnacentral:rRNA from 1 species
UACGUAGGGGGCAAGCGUUGUCCGGAUUUAUUGGGCGUAAAGAGCGUGUAGGCGGCUAGGUAGGUCCGUUGUGAAAACUCGAGGCUCAACCUCGAGACGCCGGUGGAAACCAUCUAGCUAGAGUCCGGAAGAGGAGAGUGGAAUUCCUGGUGUAGCGGUGAAAUGCGCAGAUAUCAGGAGGAACACCGGUGGCGAAGGCGGGUCUCUGGGCCGAAACUGACGCUGAGGAGCGAAAGCGUGGGGAGCAAACAGG